rnacentral:rRNA from 1 species
UACGGAGGGGGCUAGGGUUGUUCGGAAUUACUGGGCGUAAAGCGCACGUAGGCGGCUUUGCAAGUUAGAGGUGAAAGCCCGGGGCUCAACUCCGGAAUUGCCUUUAAAACUGCAUCGCUAGAAUUGUGGAGAGGUAAGUGGAAUUCCGAGUGUAGAGGUGAAAUUCGUAGAUAUUCGGAAGAACACCAGUGGCGAAGGCGACUUACUGGGGUAUUUCUGACGCUGAGGCACGAAAGCCAGGGGAGCGAACGGG